UGCCGCGAAGUACUGAUGGGUUUUGUG
rnacentral:sRNA from 1 species